CUACAGGGAAUAGUAGUAGAAAAUUUCUGGUUAAUAGACUGUCAUAAAUUUGGAGUAAUCAAAUUAUCUAAACCAGUAAAAAAAAAAAAAAGUGUCACCUCACAUUGGAGAGGUUUGCUUUAUUCAUGGCUACUCAUAGAGUGCUGAUAAGCCAACAUACAGCUCACAUAAUUUUUUAAAAGAAAUUUAAUACUCAAAAUUCACAACACUCAGUGUCAAAGAUAUUUAGGUGAUUAAACUUUUCAAAUGGUGUUUUUAGUAAGUUUGUAGCAUCUGGACUUCUGAGGAUAUUAAAGCUGACAAUUGCACUAAGACUUCUGUAACACCUUGUAUACUGAGAUUGCUGACAUUUAUGUCUAUAGUUAAGACAAUUUAAAAAUGAGUUAUUCAUGAAUGUAAAAAUCAGAUUCUGCUUUUGCAGAAAAUUUUUUAUUCCUGUCUCUUAAAAGCAGUUUCAUUGAUCAGACAUAUUCUUAGAAAUGAGGACAGAGACAGGAACUAACUGUAUUCUUGUUUCUGCUGCCAAGGAUAACAAUCUACU
rnacentral:lncRNA from 1 species